UGGCCGUACAAGGUAAAGAAGAAGUUACCAUGACCGUUUAACCAAGGAGGGAGUAAACGGAUCAUUCUUACCUUCUACUAUGCUCUACUUGGAUCAGACCGUUGAGAGAGCUUGAGGAGCGCAUCUGACAGGCUGUGCCAGGCUGUGACAGACUGUCAGCAUCCUAGUCAAAGAUCCAAGAUGCUUCACACGCGGGAAGAAGCUCAUUGGAUGCUUUAUGAUAUGCGCUCCUCUCCUGGUUGACUUUAUAUGCUUUAGCUUAUCUUUAAACCUUGUAAACCCUAAGCUCUCAUACUAUAUAAGUUGUAACCUCAUCAG
rnacentral:lncRNA from 1 species